UUAAUAUUUAGUUAACAAAACAAUGUGAGGUUAAUUUAGUUAUUGGUAAAAAAUGGAAUUAUAUUUUUUAUUCAACAAAAAUAGUUAAUAUUAUUUUUGAUAGGAAUUGACCCGACGGUUGAACCACCGAGUCGCCGGUUGAACCAUCGACCCAUUGACCCACUGCAUUGUCCGAGUUGACAUCCGGAUUGGGUCUGAUAACUAUGAUUCUAAGUACAUGGUGUGAGUAUUGUUCUAUGUGACCGAUUGGUUAUAUAUCUUCUUUUCCUUCUUGCCUUUCAAGAAGUUAAGUGCUCAAGAUGUUUUAGAAAAUGGCAAAAAAAUAUGUGCUCAUCAUUCUUUCAAGCUUAUAUGUUUGAGUAUGACUCUACUCAUGGACCCUAUAAGGGAAUCAUCAAUGUUGUAGAUGAAUCCAUGCUCCCGUUUGGCCCCCCAUUAAAUUAAAUUUUAUUUUUCUCUCUCCUAUUUUUAAUCACACAAGUUUUCAUAAAAUAAUAUUACUCGUAAAUUGAAAUUUUUUUCCUCCUUUUUCAACCACUCAUUUUCAAAAGAAACCUAUCCACCCAUUUUAAUUUGAAAAAAUGGGGACCAAACAUGAGCUAUUUUUGAAAACAAUGGAAGAACAUUAAAUUUAGUAGCAAAACGUAUCACCAUAAUUUCGAAUCAGAAGUUUGAUAAUUUUUCUUUACUAGCAUACUGAUUGAUACUAGAUAUAUAUAUUUGAGUCUUUUGUCUGCCUGUUCUAAUUCAAAAUCCCCUGUAUAGAGACCUAACAGAGAUUCCUUAGGGGUGAUUAUGGGGUUAACUAUCUUCUGGCAUUUUUACUACUAUUGACAUGGCCUCAACACAUAAAAACGCCUGUCGUUUCAUCUCCUCUGAUAUGUUAUGAAUAACUGUCAAAUUUAACACCAUUGAUCUUUUUCUACAAGGUGGUACUAAGAAGGUUUUAAUAUCAGCUCCAUCGGAGUACACGAGAAAACCUACAAGCCAAGCAGGGGAAUUUGUUUCCAAUGCUAGCUGUACCACCCUUGCCCCUUUUGCUCAGAUUGGAUUGCAUUCUCUAAUUUCAAGAACCACAGUUAAUUUCACUUAUCAAAUAGACAAAAAAAUAUUUUAAGAUUAUCUUUUUCUUAUAGGUGCAUGCUCUUCUUCAAUGGAUUCUUUUAAAUUAUUUAAUCUUCUUUUCUUUUUAAAACCAGUGUAGGAAGAUUACUAUAUUCGUUAAGCCUGUUUUCCAUUAAUCUGCAAAUUUAUGUAAUAUCUAAUGAUAGUUGUUGAUUGAAUUUAUAGGCUGCUGUAAAAGUACUACUUGAACUCUUUUCAUGUCCCAACCCCUAAUGUCUCUGUUGUAGACCUAACUUGUCGACUUGAGAAGAGUGCUUCUUUACGACAAAAGAUGAAUAGUUCGAAGAUUGGCUCUUCACUUUGCAGGUUAGAGUCAAACUUUGGUGUAGCAAUAUCAUCUGUAGAUAAUAUUUUGCAAGUGUUGACGAUCUACCAACUGUUCCAUAUUGGAUUCAUAUAGGAGUUUCUUUUUUAAAAUAUUCUUUUUGAAAUUUUUCUUAAGCUUGUAUUAGUACUUGAAUCCACUAAAAUCCCAUUUAUGGUAGUUCAAAAGUUUCAUUAUGAUGUUAUUGAGUACCAAUUUAAUGACAUAGCUAUUUAUUUUGCUUUUUAUAAAAUGGAAGAAGUUUAUGCAUACCUUAAACAAAACAUUGUUUCUAAUGUGAUUAUGUGGAUGGUGGAAAUAAGAUUGAGCAUUUCCUUUUUCGUUUUUUUAUUGUAAGAAAUAUUCAUCUGGAAGUCAUUGUUGAUGACUUAUUCCAUUUAUCAAACCAUUUUUCAAAUGCUUAUUUCAUCAUAAUCAUUACCUAGACAUUGUUUACUUUCUAAUUGCACUUCAUUAAGUUUACUCCAAUGCUGUAUACUAUUCUAUAUGAACUUUUUUAUCACAUCUUUUAAUCUUUUGUAUGACUACUCAAAAAAGUAGACCUAACAUUUGUUUCCAUUCUUCAAUGAAAGUUUAGGACAUAUGUAUUAUGGUUCCAAUUAUUCCCCCAUUAUAGUCCUACAACACAUCUUAUCUCGUAUUCAGAAUAUCAAUAAAAUGGAAAUGUCUAAAGGACUUGCUCCUUUAAAUACUCUAAUAUUGAAUUAUGAAUGACAUCUUCUCACUUAUGUGCAGAUAAAAUUUUACUCUCUGGGAAGCAAGAUACCAAAUUUACAUGAUGAUUUGAAAAAGAAUUGCAGUGAACUUAGGAUAUUACAAGGAAUUAAGAGAUUAUCCAUGAUUGUUGAAACUCGAGUAAGACUUCGUCAUACUUCAUGUACCAUUUAUGUCAAAGCCAUAUUAAUUUCUCUUUCAUAGUUCAAUUUACUGAAAUAAAAUAUAUUAUACAUGCAUGUUUUUAUUCUAGAUGACAAUCAUACAAAAAAUAUUCACUUUUAAGAACUUUUCUUAAUGUACUACUGAAUCCUAGACCAACUUUCAAUUGUAAAUGUAUAAAAACUACAAAAUUUGUAGUUGAAAAGACAUUCUCAUGGUACCUUAACAAACCAUGUCAUUUGCAUAUGAAAAACAAUUUGUUUGUCAUUCGUCAGUUCAUUAUCCCUAAUAUUAACUAAAAUAAUUGAUGCUCAUUUUGAUUUCUUCAUUUUGCUACUCUUGUUUUACUCAUUAUAGUUGUCACGCAUUUUUGUAAAAUCAAAUGCCCAAGAGAACUAAAAGAAAAAUGUUGCAUUACUUAUUUUCUUCAUCGCUAUUUACCUAUGAAAGAAGAAGUUCGAUUGUUUAGAGAACUUCUUGCUCUCAUGAUCUUAUUCUUUCACCUUUGGCACUCGCGUACUUUUCUGGUUAUCAGAUACCACAUCUACAAAAUAGUGAUCUUUGCAUUAGGAUUCUUCAAACUUCUUUAUCAACCUUGAGUAAGGAGUUCAAGGGGGAGGACUUAGAUUGGUAAACUGAAUCACGACUGGAUUUGUGUUCUAUUUGUUAAAGUCUACUUGGGGAUGCAGUGAUUGCACUGCAACAGGCAGUGGUGGAUGAUGAUGGAUUCAUUUCAAAGCAUACAAAUAUGAAGUAUAAGCUUAGAGAUACUUUUGGUUACGGUUGGCAACGGUUCGGUUAUGGGUCAGUUCGGCCAAAAUCAUAACCGCACCACCAAUUUUUUGACCAUACCAUAACCGCACCAUAAUCACGUAAAUCGGUUCGGUUCGUAUCUCGGUUCGGCACGGUUCGGUUCGGUUAAUAACCACUAAAAUAAAUUAUUUUUCAUAAGUUCAUCUGUCAAAUUGAUAUAAAAUAAUUUAUGAAAAAGUCAAUGAAAACAAAAACACAAUAUUCUAAACGAAAAUGCAAAUAUUAUCCAAAUUUUCAAUUGAAAAAUACAAAUUUAACAAACAAUCUUAUAAAUAUAACAAUACUAAAUUCUUCCUUCAUUCUUAAUUGUUGUGCAUUGAAAUUACUUGAUUCAUUCUUUCUCACAAGUCUUACUAGUAUAGAUCAACACUCAAAGUUGAUUCAUAUAUAGUAAAUAAGAAAUGUAAGUAGAAAAUACAUCGAUACUACCUAUUCCAGAAUGGUCUUAACUAAAAUUUAAAUAAAAAAAAUGUACCUCUUCGUCAGCUUCCUUCUCGCUAAACGUUGCACAAGCUCUAGAGUAUGAUGAAGAAGUAGAAUUUUCUACAUACAAUAGAAAAAAUUAACAAUAAAAGGAGCCGUGCGUGAGUUUGUGGUCUGUGGGGAGUAGGGUUUGCAUUUAUACAUUGUCAUACUAAUGCUAUUAUUAUGGGUUAAUGGUAAGUGGGUUGGCCGGCUGAGUCAUGUAGAUGUAAUGGGGGGAUUUUGUUUUAGGCUAGAUAGAAAAGUAGUGUAAAACUCAAUAAUCAAUUCAAUUUUUUUUUUUUUUUUUUUUAGCGGGUAAUCGGUUCGGUUUAGGUUCGACGGCGUAAAUACCAUACCCCGCACCGCCACAAAUCGGUUCAUAAAAAUAAAAAUUAUAUCCGUCCCAUUGUACUAUCGGUUCGGUUUUUUUCGCCCCAUUCGGUUCGGUUAACAGCAGUUUUCGGUUUUGACGGUUCAAAUUGCUAUACUUACUUUUGGUAGGCUCUAUGUGUUAAGUAUAUUAAACAUUAAGAAGCGUAAAAAUAAAUUUUAUUAAUUCUAAGCUUGUGAGCUCUAAUUAAAUAAUAAAGUGCUCAUUUCCAGCUGACAUAAUUUUACACUGAGACGUUCUCAUUUUUAGUGUUUGGUAUGUAUAGUUCUGUUUUAUCUUAAAAUUAUGAAUUCAAGACAAAACACACAUCUUCACUUGAGGCUAAAAAGGUAGAUACCUCAAUUUCCGUACUAACUCGCGUAAUUAGUCCACUAGCAGCCCAUAUUCAGGAAUAUGGACCUUACCAUCAGAGGAAUAUAAAGAAAAAGUGUUUUUUACCUUAUGCUACACACAACUGUGCUCGCAAAGUAAUUAAUAAAAUACAAUUGAACAUACUACACGUUUUGUUUAAGAAAUAAACUACCUUUAUUGAAUCAUUGUACAUAUCUCUCAUUAAUAGUUAACAUUAAAAACGCUAACAUUACUUUAAAAAAUAAAACAACCCGUGCAUUGCACGGGCAAAAAACUAGUAUAAAAUAUAAUUGCAUACGUUAUAUGAACUUAAGUAUUGAUGAAUUAUUUUUAUUCUACCUCAUAUAAAUUGAAUAACUAAGUUGGGGAAAAAAUUUACAUCUUUAGUGCACCUUAAGAACAGUUUUUUUUCUUUUUUAAGUAUGGUGUAAAAAAAGGGGGUUAAACCCUCAUUUGAUGGGGGGUUAAAAUCAAUAUUAUAAAUUAAUUUCAACUAUAUAUUUCAUGAAAUUUACAAUUUUUUCACCAUACAUGUUAUCAAAAUAUUCUGAAAAACCUAUUUUAAUUCCCACAAAACAAGGGCUAAAAAAAUAUGGUACUAAAAUAAAGUAAUUACGCGUAACUAAUAGUAUCACGUGUGAACCCAUAUUCUAAAAAUUCAGUUUUAUUCAAACUCAUUUACAAUAACGCAUUCUUUUAAUAAAAUGAUUUUGCACGUAAAUUUUUUUUCUUUACCACUUCCUCAAAAUUUUGCCACUUCGAAAAUCUUUUUUUAUAAAAAUAGGGCAUCCUAACACUCCAAAUAUGUUAAGAUUCCUAACAUCAGCAAAAUUUGAAUUCAACACCAAAUAUUUUACAAUAACAUACUCCGGAUCCCACCUAUGCAACUUUGAAAGUACACACUACAAAUUAUUCUAUUGACAAUUUCUAUUUUGUGGCCAGCAAUAACUAAUGUCACGUCAGCUUUUUUAAAUCCCUUCUUUUCUCCUUGUUUUUUGCCCUAUUUGACUAGCUUUAUUGUUUUCUUUAUAAAUAAGGUUCCUUACACCGCACCCAUGCGGCCAACACCUUCCCUCCAUUAUCAAUGGUAGUAUCUGUUGAUGCUAAUUUCACCUACAAUUGAACAAAUUAAAAUGUGAGUUAUGGAAUUAACAUAAAAAAUGGGAAAAAGAAAUCAAAACUAAAUUUGAAGAAUGAAGAAUGAUAAUUUCCCCUUUUUAAUUCGGCUCAAAAAAUCAAUCCAACACCACAAAGACAACACCAAUUGGAAACUUUUUCAAUCAUAGGGAGAAGUACACAAGGCAGAAGCUAGUUUUCAGAAAUGCACAAAGCAGAGGCGGGUUUUUUGGUGUGUUGAAAGUGAUGCUAAAAAACUCCAAUUUAUAGGGAAAGGAACAACAGAUUUCCUAGAAAAAAUCAGUUAGAUAGACUUUAAGAAAAUUGAAAAUGGUUACCAAGCAUAAGGGUAGUAUAACCAUUACAAACAUCUCACGUGAUUUGAAAUUAUCUCCGAAGUUGGGUAUUGAACAUGUAGUCCAUUGGACUGAUUUCCUCUAAAGAUUCAACACAAUUGAUCAAUUGUGGUGUGAAUUUAUAAUAUUUUUCAAUUUUGAGCUUAUAGCCUAUGAAGAAGAACGAGUAUCGAUUUUUCAUCAUUAAUUACGGGUUAUUUGGUUAUGACUUACUACAAUACCUGACAGAAGCCCUCUUCUCCCCUCUGAGCUCCACUUAUUUCCCGCCUCACCUUCUUUUCUUCCACCAAAAAUCCAUCCCUUUUCUACUGCUAGAACCAUGUCAUCGACUCCUCCCCUCCAGUUUUUCUGCAUCCUCAAUCGCUCCAAACAAAAAAGUUAAAUCUUUUACAGUAUCGAGCUCAAUUAAUCAAAACACCCACGAACUUUGUUCCCUGGCGGUUACAAGGAACCUGAGAUCAAGGUUCUGAAUCUCGUGCCCAGUUGAGCUCCGAGGAGGUUUUACGGGACAACAAUAAUGUUCUUGAUGUAAUUGACGAUGCAGUAUCGGAUAGAGUUGGAAUUGUGGUGCUCAAUGGCGGUGGAGCAAGUGGCUAAAAGCUAUACGAGGCUGCGUGUUUACUGAACUCGGUGAUCAGGGAUCGCGCAUACUUGUUAAUUGACGAGCGCAUUGACAUUGCAGCUGCUGUUAAUGCCACCGGAGUCUUGCUUUCUGAUUAAGGUUAUCUUUUUGGCCGGAUUGCUUAAUAGGUUCUUAGAUGUAUUACAGUUUUACUGGAUCCAUAUUGGAUUUAUCAUUAUAAUAAUGGCGUUUCAGAUUUCCGAGUGCUAACAGAUCCAGUAGUUGGAUUUGCAUUUUGAUUCUUAACACGUGCAAGUUCAAUAAUCUAGUAAUAGAUAACUUGGUGCUUAAAUAAUUUAAGGUGCAUGAUUGUUGGAAGGCCAAGUUAUGAUUGGAUUUGUGAACCUUUGAAAUUUUAGUUCGCGACAUUGGACGCUAUCAUUUCGAAAGCCUCCAAAUAUUCUGAUUUUGUACUGUACUUUGUUUUGUUGUGAUUACAUUUCAAAGGACGAGCAUGGUGGCCUCCUUGUGGUGUUUGAAUCUUUGAAAUGGAGGAGAUUAUGAAAUGAAACUCAAUCUAAAUCAUAUGUGCUGUAAAUCAACGAUGUUUCAAAUUAGAGUUGGAGAUUAUGAGAACUAUAAUAGUGCGGGAAUUCAACUGUUUUUUUAUGCAAUUUCUAUUGAGUUUUUUGUAUAAUCACGUGGAGGAAAAAAAUUUUGAUAAUCCAUUUUACAUUUCUAACAGGCUGACACUCGUAGAACACAUGGCAGAUUUGAUAUCUCCUUCGUAGUUUCUUGUUUUUCCCAUGUUUCCUGGGCUUGUUUUCUAUGAGUUCAGUUUGAUUGAGCUGACCAUCGAACAAAAUAUCUUCAGUCGAUAAAUCAUAAUAAUUGCAUGUUGCAUUUUAUGUAUUGGAUAUAUGAGGAUUUAUCAUGGAAAAUUUGAAUACUCAUGUGGAAACUACUUUAUACAUAAGUUUUCUAUUAGUAUAAAUGCCACAAUUCAUGUGGCUCUUUGAUAAUCCAUUCUGCAGUCCUACCAUGUCCGACACUUGUAGAACAUAAGGCAGCUAUGAUAUCAUUUUCACAGUGUCUUGGUCUACCUGUAUUUCCUGGGUUUCGCUUUCUAUGAGUUCAGUUUGAUUGAACUGACUGUCCACCCAAACCGAAAGACUUUAUCAGUACAUGGAUAUGGUAUCCCCCUAUUUUUUUCUUAUGUUUCUUGCUCGCUACCCUUGCGUUGUGAUGUCAAGGGGAAAAAGAAGAGUCUCCAGUUGAAAGUCUGGUCUGUUGGUCGGUUUCUUUUCCGAAUAAAUAUAUAAUCUAGCCGAGUCUAUAGAAUAAAAUUACUAACUUAAAAAAAAAGAAAAAAUGUCACUGAAUAACUAAUGAAGCAACUUAAUUUCCUCCAAAUAAACCAAACUUCAGACCUAAUCUCAAAGAUAUUUACAGUUUAAUGGAAUCUUGAAAUGACGAGUAUUAGGCACAUGAUGGUUUCCCUGAUGAUUGAUGCCUGACCGCAUUUAGACUUUUUGAAUUUUUGUAUCCACUUAGUAAUGUCUUGGUGAAGGGAGAGAACCCCAAAUCAGAAUUGCAUGUAUGGGAAAAUGCUUAAAAGACACGAAGAGAUAAGAUGACUAUCAUGGUUUCAGACCUAGGAAGUAGGUACAUAUUCUUUUUUAACAGUAUAUUUGGUGUUGUUAAACAUCUUACUUUCUACCUUGUUCAUAGCUAGGAUAGCACAUCUCUUAUUUGCUUGCGAUAAGAUUCCGAUUCGAUUAGUUGAUUUAUUUUACCUCACCAUUUAAUUUUGUAUCUGGAUUUUCCACUUCAAAAGCUUAACCCACGUACUUGUAAACUUUUCAAAGUGUAUUGUUAGUCACUUAGUCUGCAAAAGAACUAACAAGAGAUUCCUGUUUUUCUUAACAUCACCAGGGAGAGUUCAAUUCUGGCAAAUCAAGUGUCAUUAAUUCUUUUCUGGGGCAAAGAUACUUGAAGGAUGGAGUUGUUCCUACUACUAAUGAGAUCACCUUUCAUUACCUUUCAAAAAAAAAAACUAAUGAGAUCACCUUUCUAUGCUAUUCUGAGUUGGAUUAUAAUGUUUAGCAUUGUGAAAGGCACCCUGAUGGUAAAUAUAUAUGCUAUUUACCUGCUCCAGUUCAUAAAGAAGUGAGUUUCUUCUACAUUUUCUGCCCUCUUCUUCUUGGACAAGAAUGCAUUCCUAAUACUGAAAGACAUUUUUUUUCCUCGUUGAAGGAAUAUUACUCCGUGUCAUGAUGAAUAGUUAAAUUUCUCCCCAUUCUCUGCUCCUUCCAGUGGUCUGGGACAGUAUGAACAAUCUUUGAAUACAUCAUAUAAGUGGAAGAAAGGUGAUCACUUUUCUACAACUAAUGAGAUUUUUUUGCCAAACAGCUUCUUUCUGCUACUCCGAAGCUUAUUAGUGAAGAAUGCCAGCAAGCAAGAAAAGACUCGGUGAAUGAUCUUAUAAGUAGCAUGAAAUGGUAUGUAUGGAAAAUGGAAAGCGAAGCAUUUCUUGGAAGAGACAAAUUUUGUCUCUGGUAAUUAUAUGUGUACCUGUACCUUGAUCUAUCUAUUGUAUGGUUUUAUAUAUGAUCAGAAUUGAUUUAGACAAUUGUUGUUUGUACCAAAAAAUGUAGAUUAAUAACACCCAAGCACGUAUCAUCAAGCUCGCAGAAUCAACCCUGCUACUAUCGAAUCUCGACCUUGUGACUUCAAAUGUUUUUAAGGGAGAUAAAUCUGUCCCUAUGCCAGUGACCUCAGGUCUUAGAAAUGAUGCAAUUGACCCUGCCAUUUCAGAAGCAAAUGUGAGUGCUGCAAUGCCCAUUCUUUAUUCUCAAGGCCUGGAAUGUUCUUAGGAAUUUGCUCUGCUGGUGGGUAAUCAGCCUCUUUUUGAUAUUUGAGUGGAGAAGCAACAUAUAUAGAGAAACUUUGUGCAAAUUCUCUUCAUAAAGGUACACCCUUCUAUAGUCUCCUAAGAGGAGUAGAGUUAGACUUAAAUUAGUAGCCUACAUUACCGUAAGAAGAAAAAACAAUAACCAUAGGUUUAUUGUCCUUCCAACUGAAUCUUACAUUUCCCCUAAGGCGCAUGUUCGGUUUCUGUCUAUUGAUGGGUUAUUGAGUGAUUCUAAUUCAUUUUUUUAUAUUGGUGGGAAUUUACACUGGUAGUUGAUGGCUUGUGUUCAUGUUCAUCACUCCUAGCCUUUUGUUGAGGUUUAAAUACUGAUUGAUACAAUGUAUCUGCGAUAGGUUGCCGGCAGUCUCAAAUUUCCCCGUCUGAAGGCGAAAUGGGAUAGAUAAAUUUAGACGAACUGCAGAUGCCUUGGCUCGUCAGCUUGAAGAAGCAAUGCAAAAGGAGUUUUCGGAGACCACUGAAAAUCUAAACAAGUUUGCAGACUUUGCUGGCAAACCAUGUCAAGAUAUGGCACAGAAACGAGUUUAUAAACUUACUUAACACUCUUAGCAACUAUCGAGGAAAAAACUCAAAUCGAAAUCCAAAAUCUACAUGUAUCAAGGUAGCAAUGGACCUUUAUCUACUCACACUAUGGAUCAUAAGGGAAGUCAAAUAUUGUAGCAUUUGUUACUGUGAUGGAAAAAUUAUUUAUUUUAAUUAUAUUUUUUAUCAUUUUACAUUUUUAUGGUGUUUACAUUGUAGAAACACAAUUCUUAC
rnacentral:lncRNA from 1 species